rnacentral:rRNA from 1 species
GACGAACGCUGGCGGCGUGCUUAACACAUGCAAGUCGAACGGAAAGGCCCUGCUUUUGUGGGGUGCUCGAGUGGCGAACGGGUGAGUAACACGUGAGUAACCUGCCCUUGACUUUGGGAUAACUUCAGGAAACUGGGGCUAAUACCGGAUAGGAGCUCCUGCUGCAUGGUGGGGGUUGGAAAGUUUCGGCGGUUGGGGAUGGACUCGCGGCUUAUCAGCUUGUUGGUGGGGUAGUGGCUUACCAAGGCUUUGACGGGUAGCCGGCCUGAGAGGGUGACCGGCCACAUUGGGAAUGAGAUACGGCCCAGACUCCUACGGGGGGCAGGAGUGGGGAAUUUUGCACAAGGGGCGGAAGCCUGAUGCAGCAACGCCGCGGGCGGGAUGACGGCCUUGGGGUUGUAAACCGCUUUCGCCUGUGACGAAGCGGGGGUGACGGGAAUGGGUAAAGAAGCACCGGCUAACUACGU